UUUGAGACAGGGUCUCCCUCUGUGGCCCAGGCUGGCGUCCAGUGGCAUGACCAUGUCCCAUCGCAGCCUUGACCUGCCAGGCUCAAGCAAUCCUCCCAUUUCAGCCUCCCGAUGCUGAGAUUAUAGGCCUGAGCCACCAUGCCUGGCUGCAGAUCCUUCAUAGGUUUCUUAAUCUUAAGAACAAAAAGCUCACCUGGAAAGCAAGAACACAUCAAUUUGGCAGUAUCUGGUCACUAAAAGAACUGUAUCUCUGGAGGCAAGCAUGGGCUCUAAUAAACCCCACAAAGUAUUGCCGUCUAAUUCCCAAAUAUUCCUGACUGUCUCUUUCCACAGAGCUAAGGAGGGUUCAAUUCAAAGAACAUUAAAGUCCCUUUGGCUUGCAUAGCAGACGAGAAACCAGACUCUUCUUGCCAAGCAUGCCUCAGGCCCACAAAUACCCAUGGAAAUAGGUAUAUAUUUCUGAGUAAAAAGCCACCAUCCAUGUCAGAAAAGAUUUGAAUCUACCUCAGCUGUCUUUCUUCUCUUAGAUCUGUCUGCCUCAUACUUUGUGGAUGACUACUUUGGAAAAGUGAAACUCAGGUAAGACACUAAGCUCUCUAAGCCUCAAUUUUCUCACAGGUAAAAUGGGGAUAGUGUAUUUACCUCAGAGAGUCAUUGUGAGACAACACAUGUAAAGCACUGAGCCUAGUAUAUAGAACACAUUUAAUGAGCAGAAACUAGUUGCUGAGUGCUUCUACGUAGACAGAAGUAGAGAAACGAGCAGAUUCAUGAGAGGAGAAAAAAGAAACAAAUAUAUAGUGCAUGUGGACAGGAACUACACAGAGGAUUUCUAAAAGCUGCCUCCAAGACCAAUUCAGGUCCUAGAGGGAAAAAUGUACAACAUUGAGUUCUGAGAAGGCUGGGCAGAUACAUCACAGACAAUGCAUGGUUUGGAGGCAUGAAACUAAACAAAUGCCUUCCCAAUACUCUACAUCCACAGGGAUACAAAUGCAGUGUCAUCUGUGGGCAGUCUUCCUGUUAACUUGACACAAGAUCAGCCCUCCAUCUGCAGGUGUCAAAGCUCCCUUAAUAAUUAGUUCCUGAGUCAAAUAUAAUACUGACAAAAACAUUGUAGAUCUUUCAUCUUUUGGGGGAAUUUUUAGUCAUAAAUUUAGGAUUCCACUGUUUCUUUAAAGCAAAGCCACUAGUAGCUGAGGGUGAUGGUGUGUGCCUGUAGUCCCAGCUGCUCAGGGGGCAGAGGCAGGAGGAUUGCUUAAGCCCAGAA
rnacentral:lncRNA from 1 species